rnacentral:rRNA from 1 species
AUACAGAGGUCUCAAGCGUUGUUCGGAUUCAUUGGGCGUAAAGGGUGCGUAGGCGGUAGGGUAAGUCUGGUGUGAAAUCCCGGGGCUCAACCCCGGAACUGCACUGGAUACUGCUUUACUAGAGCACUGGAGAGGGAACUGGAAUUUACGGUGUAGCAGUGAAAUGCGUAGAUAUCGUAAGGAAGACCAGUGGCGAAGGCGAGUUCCUGGACAGUUGCUGACGCUGAGGCACGAAGGCCAGGGGAGCAAACGGG